CUGCUGCCUUCCGUAGGAGUUUGGUCCGUGUCUCAGUACCAAUGUGGGGGGGUUGACCUCUCAGUCCCCCUAUGUAUCGUCGCCUUGGUGAGCCGUUACCUCACCAACUAGCUAAUACAACGCAUGUCCAUCUCUGACCACCUGAGUUUUCAACCACCGAAGAUGCCUCCGGUGAUGUUAUGGGGUAUUAGUACCAAUUUCUCGAUGUUAUCCCCCUGUCAAAGGUAGGUUACAUACGCGUUACGCACCCGUCCGCCGGUCGCCGGCA
rnacentral:rRNA from 1 species